rnacentral:rRNA from 1 species
GGGAGGGGUGCAAGCGUUAAUCGGAAUUACUGGGCGUAAAGCGAGUGUAGGCGGCUACGUAAGUCGGGAUGUGAAAGCCCUGGGCUUAACCUGGGAAUGGCAUUCGAUACUGCGUGGCUAGAGUUUGACAGAGGGAUGUGGAAUUCCGGGUGUAGCGGUGAAAUGCGUAGAUAUCCGGAGGAACACCAGUGGCGAAGGCGGCAUCCUGGGUCAAAACUGACGCUGAGGCUCGAAAGCGUGGGGAGCAAACAGGAUUAGAUACCCUGGUAGUCCACGCCCUAAACGAUGUCAACUAGACGUUGGGUUCAUAAAGGAACUUAGUGCCGAAGCUAACGCGUUAAGUUGACCGCCUGGGGAGUACGGCCGCAAGGUUG